ACACGAAGCUCCUUGCUCGAUUUUCGACAUCCUCCCCUCCAUUCCAACCCUGAAUUCACCACCAUAUCGUGUUCCAUCCCUACGAUGGCGACGCCCAGCGUCGAUUCGGUGCGCACAAUUUCAUCCCCAACUCGGAGAUUCGUCCUCCUAUGGACGCUUGCACGCCCGUCGAAAAAUAGUUGAUUUUCGUAUGAUUAAAUCAGUGUAUUCAACGGUCAAAAAGCAGUGAUGUGUUAAGGAUACAUUCGCGUAAUUAUUGGAUCGCAUAAAAUGGUGCUGAAGGGGAGAGGAGAGAACGCUGGGGAAGAAACACGAGGGGAGAAGAAUAAAGUCGUGGAACGGCCAGGGAAGCGAGAGGGAAGGGAAAGAUGCCGGCUGGCAAGCAGAUGGUUGCCCCGUUUAUUGGUUUAUUCGUUGCUUCAGCCAUGACGUUCUGUCCGGCCAUGAAACAAGCCGGAGAUUCUCCUUGUGUUGAAGAGUAUCAUGCAACGAGGCUACGAAUGCUCUUCCUAUUAAAUCGCAUUCGCGAAUUACUCAUUCACAUUCAGUUAUAUGAUAGCCAGCAACGCAGUUACUUCGAAUAGUUUUUAUUAUUCCACAAACAUCUGCUUAUUUUGCAUCUGACAUCGUUCCUCUAUCAAGGCGUGUUUUACAUACGAGCAUGCAGACGUAGUGAAUAUUACAGAUGAUAUUCAGUAAUGGCGUCCUGGGGGUGGAUGAAAUGCUCGGGUCGAUAGAAGGAAGGCUUGUCUACGAAACGCAUUUACUCUUUCGUCUUAUUGCCAAUGAUCAUCCCCACCUACAAUGGCCUUUUCUACGGUUUAUCCCCAGGGAUGUAAUCCACACACUCAACCCUAUAAAUAUGUAUAAUCAAUUAUACUCAAAAGAAGACGAUCAGCAACAUGACCAAGUAACCUGGAAAUGAAAGGUACUUCGACACGCGUGCAGGAAUAAAAGGAGCUGUACCGCUAAGAAGACGAAGAAGAAGAAGAAGAAGGAGAAGAAGAAAACCAAGGAGAAUGCGACCUUGCUACAUUCAGCUGUGUCAUCCUUGAGCCGUUAACGCUCAGGUGGUUUCGAUCCCAGGAACGAGCAUCAAUCAUCAUCGGUAGUGCAGGUGUAAUGUGAUCAUUGUCACCGAGAUAACCGAGUACGAUAUUCACUUACGAAGCGUGUCAAGUGACAUAAUAGAGUUUAUCUAUAACAGUGUAUCUAAAUACUGAAAGAAACGGCUUCAAUGUUUGUGCCUCUCGAUAGUAUAUUAUUUGUUAGGGCAGGUCUUUACGACGAGAGUCGGGCAGGGCAUUACGAAACAAUCAUCCAUUUAUAUGUUGCAGAUAUUACGCACAAAGUUAAGAUUGCAUAUAUUUCUGUUUAAUUUAUAUAGUUUUUUUUAUACUUCUUUUUUUUUACAAGAUUUUCUUUAAUAAAGAAACAAAUUAAGGCUAUGAUAUCAAAUAACAUAA